AUCACCGAAGUCAAGCAUCAUUGGGCGCGGCCAGUACUUGGGUGGGUGACCACCUGGGAACACCGCGUGCCGUU